GUUUUGGAGAUGGGUACUAGAUCCAUUUGGUCCAGUGUUGAAUUCAGAUCCCAAAUAUCUUUGUUACUUUUCAGCCUCAAAGAUUUGUCUAAUUCUGUCCGUGGGGUGUUAAAGUCUCCCCCUAUUAUUGCGUGGUUAUCUAAGUCUCUUCAUAGGUCUCUAAGAACUUGACUUAGGAAUCUGGGAGCUCCUAUGUUAGAUGCAUAUAUAUUCAGGAUAGCUAGGUCUUCAUGCUGAAUUAAGCCUUUCACCAUUCUCUAAUGCCCUUCUUUGUGUUUU